rnacentral:rRNA from 1 species
GUGGGGAAUUUUGGACAAUGGGCGCAAGCCUGAUCCAGCAAUGCCGCGUGCAGGAAGAAGGCCUUCGGGUUGUAAACUGCUUUUGUACGGAACGAAACGGCUCUGGUUAAUACCCGGGGCUAAUGACGGUACCGUAAGAAUAAGCACCGGCUAACUACGUGCCAGCAGCCGCGGUAAUACGUAGGGUGCACGCGUUAAUCGGAAUUACUGGGCGUAAAGCGUGCGCAGGCGGUUUUGUAAGACAGGCGUGAAAUCCCCGGGCUCAACCUGGGAAUUGCGCUUGUGACUGCAAGGCUGGAGUGCGGCAGAGGGGGAUGGAAUUCCGCGUGUAGCAGUGAAAUGCGUAGAUAUGCGGAGGAACACCGAUGGCGAAGGCAAUCCCCUGGGCCUGCACUGACGCUCAUGCACGAAAGCGUGGGGAGCAAACAGGAUUAGAAACCCUUGUAGUCC